UGCGUAGGCGGCCGAGCAAGUCAGUUGUGAAAACUAUGGGCUUAACCCAUAACGUGCAAUUGAAGCUGUCCGGCUUGAGUGAAGUAGAGGUAGGCGGAAUUCCCGGUGUAGCGGUGAAAUGCGUAGAGAUCGGGAGGAACACCAGUGGCGAAGGCGGCCUACUGGGCUUUAACUGACGCUGAGGCACGAAAGCAUGGGUAGCAAACA
rnacentral:rRNA from 1 species